CUCCGGUUGAUCCUGCCGGACCCGACUGCUAUCAGAGUGGGACUAAGCCAUGCGAGUCGACGUAGCAAUGCGUGGCGAACGGCUCAGUAACACGUAGUCAACAUGCCCAGGGGACGUGGAUAACCUCGGGAAACUGAGAAUAAACCACGAUAGGUCACGAUUUCUGGAAUGGAUCAUGGCCUAAAUCUACAUGGCCCCUGGAUUGGACUGCGGCCGAUCAGGCUGUUGGUGAGGUAAUGGCCCACCAAACCUAUAACCGGUACGGGCUCUGAGAGGAGAAGCCCGGAGAUGGGCACUGAGACAAGGGCCCAGGCCCUAUGGGGCGCAGCAGGCGCGAAACCUCUGCAAUAGGCGAAAGCCUGACAGGGUUACUCUGAGUGAUUUCCGCUAAGGGGAUCUUUUGGCACCUCUAAAAAUGGUGCAGAAUAAGGGGUGGGCAAGUCUGGUGUCAGCCGCCGCGGUAAUACCAGCACCCCGAGUGGUCGGGACGAUUAUUGGGCCUAAAGCAUCCGUAGCCGGUUCUGCAAGUCUUCCGUUAAAUCCAGCCGCUCAACGGAUGGGCCGCGGAGGAUACUACAGGACUAGGAGGCGGGAGAGGCAAGCGGUACUCAGUGGGUAGGGGUAAAAUCCUUUGAUCCAUUGAAGACCACCAGUGGCGAAGGCGGCUUGCCAGAACGCGCUCGACGGUGAGGGAUGAAAGCUGGGGGAGCAAACCGGAUUAGAUACCCGGGUAGUCCCAGCUGUAAACGAUGCAGACUCGGUGAUGGGCUAGCCUUGUGCCAGCCCAGUGCCGCAGGGAAGCCGUUAAGUCUGCCGCCUGGGGAGUACGGUCGCAAGACUGAAACUUAAAGGAAUUGGCCGGGGAGCA
rnacentral:rRNA from 1 species